rnacentral:lncRNA from 1 species
CCCUCCUUCCCUUGACAGUGUAUAUAAUAUUGUCCUCAAUGAUGAGAUGCAAAGGCAAGUUCAGUCUUCCUCUCAAUUUGAUCCUACCUCUGUCUCUUUCAAUGUGCAUACCAACAGGCAGCCUGUUGGAUUUAACAAGGCCUCAGUGCCUGCUGCCCCUCCUCCUUUUGGACAGAGAGUCAGUUUUGAUCAAACCAGGGGACCUUUGUUUUGUCGAUACUGUAAAAAGUCUGGACACUUAAUGAUAAGUGUUUCAAGCUACAUGGGUAUCCACAAAGCCCCACAUUUAACAAGGGAAGGAGGCAUGUUGUUGCCCAUCUGAGUACUGGUCUGGAUUCUCCUAUUUCUGAUGGAUUGUUGUCUCUUCCUCAAGGAAAUCCUUCUGCUAACCAUCAGUCUGCUACAAACUUAGAUGGUCAAAGCUCCUGAUUCCAGGGUUGAGCAAACAUGAUUAUGACCAGCUGAUGAACUUGUUACACCAGCCCAAGCGCAAAGACAAGUACAGUCUCCAUCUCAAUUUGAUCCUACCUCUGUCUCCUUUAAUGUGCACACAAAUAAGCAGCUUGUUGCAUUCAACAAGGCCACCGUGCCUGCUGCCCCUCCUCCUUUCAGACAGAGGAUUAAUUUUGAUCAAAUCAAGGGGACUUUGUUUUGUCGAUAUUGUAAAAAGUCUGUACACUUAAUUGAUAAGUGUUUCAAGCUACAUGGGUAUCCACAAAGUCCCACAUUUAACAAGGGAAGGAGGCCUGCUGCUGCCUAUCUGAGUACUGGUCUGGAUUCUCCUAUUUCUGAUGGAUUGUUGUCUGUUGCUCAAGGGAAUCCUUCUGCUAACCAUCAGUCUGCUACAAACUUAGAUGGUCAAAGCUCUGUAAUUCCAGGGUUGAGCAAAC